CCUACGGGAGGCAGCAGUGGGGAAUCUUCCGCAAUGGACGAAAGUCUGACGGAGCAACGCCGCGUGAGUGAUGACGGCCUUCGGGUUGUAAAGCUCUGUUAAUCGGGACGAAAGGCCUUCUUGCGAAUAGUUAGAAGGAUUGACGGUACCGGAAUAGAAAGCCACGGCUAACUACGUGCCAGCAGCCGCGGUAAUACGUAGGUGGCAAGCGUUGUCCGGAAUUAUUGGGCGUAAAGCGCGCGCAGGCGGAUUGGUCAGUCUGUCUUAAAAGUUCGGGGCUUAACCCCGUGAUGGGAUGGAAACUGCCAAUCUAGAGUAUCGGAGAGGAAAGUGGAAUUCCUAGUGUAGCGGUGAAAUGCGUAGAUAUUAGGAAGAACACCAGUGGCGAAGGCGACUUUCUGGACGAAAACUGACGCUGAGGCGCGAAAGCCAGGGGAGCGAACGGGAUUAGAUACCCCAGUAGUC
rnacentral:rRNA from 1 species